ACUCCUACGGGAGGCAGCAGUAGGGAAUCUUCGGCAAUGGGGGCAACCCUGACCGAGCAACGCCGCGUGAGUGAAGAAGGUUUUCGGAUCGUAAAGCUCUGUUGUUAGAGAAGAAUGAUGGUGGGAGAGGAAAAUCCACCAAGUGACGGUAACUAACCAGAAAGGGACGGCUAACUACGUGCCAGCAGCCGCGGUAAUACGUAGGUCCCGAGCGUUGUCCGGAUUUAUUGGGCGUAAAGCGAGCGCAGGCGGUUUUUUAAGUCUGAAGUUAAAGGCAUUGGCUCAACCAAUGUACGCUUUGGAAACUGGAGAACUUGAGUGCAGAAGGGGAGAGUGGAAUUCCAUGUGUAGCGGUGA
rnacentral:rRNA from 1 species